rnacentral:rRNA from 1 species
CAGUCGCCACGGGAAUACGAAGGGUGCAAGCGUUACUCGGAAUUACUGGGCGUAAAGCGUGCGUAGGUGGUGGUUUAAGUCCGUUGUGAAAGCCCUGGGCUCAACCUGGGAAUUGCAGUGGAUACUGGGUCACUAGAGUGUGGUAGAGGAUAGUGGAAUUUCCGGUGUAGCAGUGAAAUGCGUAGAGAUCGGGAGGAACAUCAGUGGCGAAGGCGGCCAUCUGGGACAACACUGACGCUGAGGCACGAAAGCGUGGGGAGCAAACAGGAUUAGAUACCCCGGUAGUCCCUGUCUCUUAUAC